rnacentral:rRNA from 1 species
UCGAGGAUCUUCGGCAAUGGGCGCAAGCCUGACCGAGCGACGCCGCGUGUGGGAUGAAGGCUUUCGGGUUGUAAACCACUGUCAGUGGGGAGGAAAUGCGUGAGGGUACUCCCUCACGUUUGACCUAUCCGCAGAGGAAGUACGGGCUAAGUUCGUGCCAGCAGCCGCGGUAAGACGAACCGUACGAACGUUAUUCGGAAUCACUGGGCUUAAAGGGUGCGUAGGCGGCGCUGAAAGUUGGGUGUGAAAUCCCUCGGCUCAACCGAGGAACUGCAUUCAAAACUACAGUGCUUGAGGGAGACAGAGGUGAGCGGAACUUAGGGUGGAGCGGUGAAAUGCGUUGAUAUCCUAAGGAACACCCGUGGCGAAAGCGGCUCACUGGGUCUCUUCUGACGCUGAGGCACGAAAGCUAGGGGAGCGAACGG